GACGAACGCUGGCGGCGUGCUUAACACAUGCAAGUCGAACGGAGAAGCCGAGCUUGCUUUGUGGACUCGUGGCGCAAAGGUGUGUAACACGUGAGUAUCAUGUGCUUGUCACUGGGAUAUGAGUUCAAAACGCCGUCUCAUAUACGGUACGAGCUGAGACGGUACAGUCUUCGGUUGGAAAGAUUUGUUGGUUAAGGAUGGACUCGCGGCCUAUCAGCUUGUUGGUGAGGUAAUGGCUUACCAAGGCGUUGACGGGUAGCCGGCCUGAGAGGGUGACCGGCCACACUGGGACUGAGACACGGCCCAGACUCCUACGGGAGGCAGCAGUGGGGAAUAUUGCACAAUGGGCGGAAGCCUGAUGCAGCAACGCCGCGUGAGGGAUGACGGCCUUCGGGUUGUAAACCGCUUUUGGUAGGGAAGAAGCGAAAGUGACGGUACCGGCUGAAAAAGCACCGGCUAACUACGUG
rnacentral:rRNA from 1 species